rnacentral:rRNA from 1 species
GACGUAGGGGGCCAGCGUUGUUCGGAAUUACUGGGUGUAAAGGGUUCGUAGGCGGUGUGGCAAGUUGGGAGUGAAAUCUCUGGGCUCAACCCAGAGGCUGCUUCCAAAACUGCUGUGCUUGAGUGUGAGAGAGGCGCGUGGAAUUGCAGGUGUAGCGGUGAAAUGCGUAGAUAUCUGCAGGAACACCCGUGGCGAAAGCGGCGCGCUGGAUCACUACUGACGCUGAGGAACGAAAGCUAGGGGAGCAAACAGG